rnacentral:misc_RNA from 1 species
UUGAAAUAAACCUGAUGGGUUGUUGCUGGUUCUCUAGGGAGCAUGUGCACGCCUUCAGGUCUAUCUUGCUUUUUCAUUUACCCCAAUGUAUGUUAAUAGAAUGUUGUGACUAUAAAAUCUAUA